CGAGCUCCCCAUUCUCUGGUGGGUUAGGCAACCAUUCCAGACAGCUCUUUCAAGGUGUCAUCCUGAGAAUGCCAGCGGUCAGUGACCACCAAGACUCUAAGGUGCUGCUUGUGGCCAUCCACAGGAUUUCCUCUGGGUAUUUGAGUCCUUCUAGCGAAACCGGCCUCAGGUGGCGGCGAUGGCUACCACGCACUUGGGUGUUGCUUGGAACCCUAUUUCCACGCGGCGUUUCCCAUUCGCUUGUUCUUUUCAAAGCUGCCCCCAAGAACCCUAAGAGAGUAGCUUGACUUUUGUCAGCGGAAGCGACCCCAAGCCCACCUCUCUGGGGAUGUAAAACCACUCGGUUCUGAUAUAGCUUUAUCAAAGUCAUCCAGACGUGGGGCCCGAGGGUAGGCUGGCCGGCGGAGGAGCUGGGGCCUGGGGUGCCCUUGAGUGACUGAAGACACCACGUCCUUGCCAGGUCUGCUCAGACCUGUG